ACUGGGCAUAUAAGGCCAGACGCCGGAGGAAACGGAACCACCAGAGGGGGAACAAGCCAGAGAACGCUGGAGAGCCCAGAAAGAGUGAAGAUUCACUGGGGGCUAGGAGGCUGCCAGCCUUCUGCCCCCGCCCCCUGCCUGCCAUGUUCAGUAAAAGCCUGAAAAGGGCACCGAGCACCCCAGGACUCUCCCCUUCACCCAUCUGCAGAGGAUCAUAGAAAACCUGCUCCACCCUUCCUGCCGCGACGCCUAUUCUAAGAUUCAGAAUGGGCCAACCACCUUCUGCCUCAAGAUCUGAAUGAAAAAAAAUGGUCCGCCCAGACCACUGAAUAAAAGACGUCUUAAGCAGGGACAAAGAAGCACCCAGCUAAUGAACUCUUGGCUGCGGAUGAACAUAUACUUAUCAGGAUUAGAAGGCACCUCUGACCAGAAAGCUUAGGAAAGAAAAUCACAAGCAUAAUGAACAGUAGGGAUCUGCAAAGAGCAUUCAUUUCGGAGAUGAGGAAACAAAAGCAAAACGACUUCUUCAAAGUCAUAACACCAGCUAGCGGCACAAAAGGAACAGAAGUCAGGUCUCCAGAUUGUCCGUCUAUUUUCCCAGCUAUCCUGCCCGUCCCCAGUCCCACUCGCCCUUCCCAAGAGGAGAACUGUUGUGGAAAAUGCUCCAAUGAGGAAUGUGGAUGAGACAACUUGGGGAAGGAAGACAUAAAGAUCACUUGCUGACGUGAACAGCAAAAGUGUUAGUUUCGAAUUUCUCAGAAGCUAAAAUGUCUUCUCUUCCAGCUGGCCAAGGGAAAACGAGUCUGUUUACGUCAGCAAAAAGUAUGUCCUAGAGUGCUAUGCUAGAUGAGGUUUGCAAUUUGAA